CAGGCCUAACACAUGCAAGUCGAACGGUAACAGGAAGCAGCUUGCUGCUUCGCUGACGAGUGGCGGACGGGUGAGUAAUGUCUGGGAAGCUGCCUGAUGGAGGGGGAUAACUACUGGAAACGGUAGCUAAUACCGCAUAAUGUCGCAAGACCAAAGAGGGGGACCUUCGGGCCUCUUGCCAUCGGAUGUGCCCAGAUGGGAUUAGCUUGUUGGUGGGGUAACGGCUCACCAAGGCGACGAUCCCUAGCUGGUCUGAGAGGAUGACCAGCCACACUGGAACUGAGACACGGUCCAGACUCCUACGGGAGGCAGCAGUGGGGAAUAUUGCACAAUGGGCGCAAGCCUGAUGCAGCCAUGCCGCGUGUAUGAAGAAGGCCUUCGGGUUGUAAAGUACUUUCAGCGGGGAGGAAGGGAGUAAAGUUAAUACCUUUGCUCAUUGACGUUACCCGCAGAAGAAGCACCGGCUAACUCCGUGCCAGCAGCCGCGGCAAUACGGAGGGUGCAAGCGUUAAUCGGAAUUACUGGGCGUAAAGCGCACGCAGGCGGUUUGUUAAGUCAGAUGUGAAUCCCCGGGCUCAACCUGGGAACUGCAUCUGAUACUGGCAAGCUUGAGUCUCGUAGAGGGGGGUAGAAUUCCAGGUGUAGCGGUGAAAUGCGUAGAGAUCUGG
rnacentral:rRNA from 1 species